rnacentral:rRNA from 1 species
UACGUAGGGUGCGAGCGUUGUCCGGAAUUAUUGGGCGUAAAGAGCUUGUAGGCGGUUUGUCGCGUCUGCCGUGAAAAUUCGAGGCUCAACCUCGAACUUGCGGUGGGUACGGGCAGACUAGAGUGUGGUAGGGGAGACUGGAAUUCCUGGUGUAGCGGUGAAAUGCGUAGAGAUCGGCAGGAACACCCGUGGCGGAAGCGGCCACCUAGCCCGCACCUGACGCUGAGGCGCGACAGCGUGGGGAGCGAACGGG